GGCUGGUGACAUUUAUUUUCUAAAUGCUGGGAUUAAGUUUGGCUUCUUAAUGUCAUAAUAGCAACAGCUCCACAUCUCGCCUGCUCCUGAAGUGCAGGGUUGGUCUGUGCGUUGGUCCUGCUGGCACCUCCAUGGAAAAGGCAGAAUGAGACAGAAGCAACAGGCCUCAACCAGUCUGGGAAAUAAGUAUUCCAUUAAAAUUGGGAGAAAAAAAAAAACGUGCCAUCUGCAGGCCUGCAGCAGGGUGUCCAUAAGCAGCACUGCACCUCAUCCAAAGACCCCAAAACCUUCAGAGAAUGAAUCAAGUACACCCUCAGCAAUUUGCUGAUGACACCAAGCUGAGUGGUGUGGUUGACACGGUGGAAGGAAGGGAUGCCAUUCAGAGGGACCUCAACAGACUUGACAGGUGGGCCCGGGUGAACCUAAUAAGGUUCAACACAGCAAAGUACAAGGUUUCGCAUUUGGACCGGAGGAAUCCUAGGCAUCUAUACAGACUGAAAGGAGCAGUCUUUGAGAGCAACCCUGCAGAGAAGGUCCUCAGGGUCCAGAUGGAUGAAAAACUGAAUAUGAGCCAGCAGUGUGCUCUUGCAGCUCGGAAAGCAAAUGGUAUCCUGGGUUCCAAUAGAAGAGGGGUGGCCAGCAGGGAAGGGAGGUGAUUGUCCCCCUCUACUCUGCUCUUGUGGGGCCCCAUCUGGAGUACUGUGUCCAGGUCUGGAGCCCCUAAUACAAGAAAGACAGAGAGCUGUUGGAGAGGGUUCAGAGAAGAGCCACAAAGAUGAUAAGAGGGCUGGAGCACUUCCCAUAAGAAGACAGGCUGAGGGAGUUGGGCUUGUUCAGCCUGGAGAAAAGAAGGCUGUGGGGUGACCUCAUUGCAUUCUUUCAGUACCUAAAGGGAGCCUAUAAACAGGAGGGGAGUCAACUCUUUACAAGAGUAUAUAACAGCAGGACAAGGGGAAAUGGUUUUGAGGGAGGGAAGAUUUAGGUUGGAUGUCAGGGGGAAGUUAUUUACAGAGAGAGUGGUGAGGUGCUGAACAGGCUGCCCAGAGAGGCUGUGGAUGCCCCAUCCCUGGAUGUGUUCAAGGCCAGACUAGAUGGAGCCUUGACUAGAUGGUCUAGUAUUAUAUGUGGAGGUUGGCCCUGGCUAUGGCAGGGGGGUUGAAGCUUAAUGAUCCUUGAGGUCCCUUCUAACCCGGGCCAUUCUGUGAGCAGCUCUGAGGGGCACUGAGCAGGGGUGGAAACACAGCCUGACCAUUUGCCAUGGGUUGAUUCAAACCACAUUGGAACAGGGAGGUGCUCCUGAGCACCUGCAGUACAUCGAUGACAUGGUGGUGUGGGGUGAUACAGCAGAGAAAGUUUUUAAGAAAGGAGUGCAAAUAAUCCAAAUUCUUCUGCGUGCUAGUUUUGCUAUUAAGCAAAACAAAGUGAAAGGACCUGCCCAAGAAAUUCAGUUCCUAGGAGUAAAAUGGCAAGAUGGGCAUCAUCACAUCCCAGGAGAUGUGAUCAACAAAAUCACCACUAUGUCUCCAUCCACUAGCAAGAAAGAGACACAAUCUUUUCUGGGUGUAGUGGGCUUUUGGAGAAUGCACAUCCCAAACUAUAGAACAGCAGCAGGCUUUUGAGCAGAUUAAAAAAGAGAUAGCCUGUGCUGCGGCCCUAGGGCCAGUACGGAUGGGACAGAAUGUAAAGAACAUCCUCUAAGCUGCUACUGGAGAGAAAGGUCCCACUUGGAGGUUGUGGCAAAGAGCCUCAGGAGAGACCCGAGGCUGACCUCUGGUAUUCUGGAGUACAGGGGCGUAGAAGGGGUCAGAAGAGUGCUAAACUACAACUGAAAAGAUCUUAGCUGCAUAUGAGGGGGUUUGGGCUAAUUCCAAAGUAAUUGGCACUGAAACACAGCUCCUUCUGGCACCUUGACUGCCAGUGUUGAACUGGAUGUUUAAAGGAAUGUUUAAAGGAUGUUUAAAGGAAAGGUCCCCUCCACCCAUCACGCUACUGAUGCCACUUGAGUAAGUGGAUUGCGCUGAUUUGCAAUGAAUGCGGAUGGGGAACCUCAACCGUCCAGGAAUCCUAGAGGUGAUCAUGGACUGGCCUGAAGGCAAAAAGUUUGGAACAUCACCAGCAGAAGAGGUAUCAUGUGCUAGCUCACCAUACAGUGAACUAGCAGAAAAUGAAAAGAAAUUUGCCCUGUUCACAGACCGAUUGUAUCGUAUGGUAGAGAAGCAUUGCAGAUGGAAAGCUGGUGUGUGGAGCCCCACAUGACAAGCCACUGAAGGAAAAGGAGAAUCAAGUGAGUUCACAGAGGUAAAGGCCAUCCAGCUGGCCUUAGAUGUUGCUGAAUGGGAGAGGUAGCCAGUGAUUUAUCUUUACACUGACUCGUGGAUGGUGGCAAAUGCCUUAUAGGGGUGGUUACAGCAGUGGGAACAAAACAACUGGCAAUGGAAAGGUAAACCUAUUUGGGCUGCUGAACUGUAGAAAAAUAUUGCUGCCCAAACAAAAAAUAUGGUUACAAAGGUGCGUCACACAGAUGCCCGUGUGUCCAAGAGUAGGGCUACUGAAGAUCAGCAAAAUAGCCAUCAGGUAGUUCGAGCUGCCAGAAUUGAGGUGGCUCAAAUAGACCUGGACUGGCAGAACAAGGAAGAAUUAUUUCUAGCUCAGUAGGCCCACAAGAGCUGAGGCCAUCAAGGAAGAUACGUGACAUAUAAGUGGGCCAGAGACUGUGGACUUAACCCGACAGAGGGGUGGACUUAACUAUGGAUGCAAUUGCACAAGUUGUUCAUGUCUGCAACACGUGCCAUAAUUAAACAAGCUAAGAGGAUGAAACCUCUCUGGGGGGAAAGGGUGAUGGCAAAAGUAUAAAUAUGGGAAAGCAUAGCAGGUUGAUUGUAUCAUCUUGCCACGAUCUCACAGUGGUAAGUGUUACAUGCUCACCAUGGUAGAGACAACCACUCAGUUACUUGAAACAUACGCAGUACCCAUGCUACAACCCGAGACACAGUAUUAGAUCUGGAGAAGCAAAUCUUGUGGCAACAUGGCACCCCAGAAAGAAUUGAAUCAGAUAAUGGGAUCCAUUUCAAAAUUUCACAUGUGGAUAUUUGGGCCAGAGAACAUGGUAUUGAGUGGAUUUAUCAUAUCCCCUACCAUGCACCAGCCUCUGGUAAGAUCAAAUGCUACAACAGGUUGUUAAAAACCAUGUUGAAAGCAAUGGGUGGUGGAACAUUAAAGCAUCGGGAGAAGCAUUCAGCAGAAGCCACCUGGUUGGUCAAUACUAGAGGAUCAGUCCUACCCACUCCAGCUUCCUACAUACUGCAGAGGGAGAUAAGGUCCCUAUGGUACUUGUAAAAAGCACAUUGGGAAAAGCAGUCUGGGUCCUUCCAGCUUCUGGAAAGGGCAAACCCCUCUGUGGAACUGUUUUUGCACAGGGACCUGGGCACACUUGGUGGGUGAUGGAGAAAAAUGGGAAUGUCCAGUGUGUACCACAAGGGAAUUUGAUGCUGGGGGAGUAGUCAGUAAUUCCACAUGUACAUUUGUAUAUAGACAUGUGCAUAUGUAAUGCAUGUUAAUUAUUUCUUUGUUCGUAUAUAGGUAUUUGUUAAGCGUGAUGUGGUGAUCUGGAAUAAGGGGUGGAAUGUUGUGGUUUUGUGAUUUUUUACUGUCGGUAUUCCACAUCAGAACAUCGUGUGAACCAGCAGGAGUAAAAGAGUUCAUGUCCUGGUUCCAUUUACUGCCUCUUAAGGGCAUUUCAAGUAUUCUGAUUGGAGGGGCGGCAUUCCUGGAGGACUCCUGGAGGCGCGAAGAGGAAGAUGGGUGGAGCUCUGGACAGGACCCCGUGCUUCUUUCUCCCUCAGGCCCAGCUCACUCUCGGUUUGCGAUAGAGAAAAGCACA